rnacentral:rRNA from 1 species
UACGAAGGGGGCUAGCGUUGCUCGGAAUCACUGGGCGUAAAGCGCACGUAGGCGGACUCUUAAGUCGGUGGUGAAAUCCUGGAGCUCAACUCCAGAACUGCCUUCGAUACUGAGAGUCUCGAGUCCGGGAGAGGUGAGUGGAACUGCGAGUGUAGAGGUGAAAUUCGUAGAUAUUCGCAAGAACACCAGUGGCGAAGGCGGCUCACUGGCCCGGUACUGACGCUGAGGUGCGAAAGCGUGGGG